GACGAACGCUGGCGGCGUGCUUAACACAUGCAAGUCGAACGGAAAGGCCCUGCUUUUGUGGGGUGCUCGAGUGGCGAACGGGUGAGUAACACGUGAGUAACCUGCCCUUGACUUUGGGAUAACUUCAGGAAACUGGGGCUAAUACCGGAUAGGCGCUCCUGCUGCAUGGUGGGGGUUGGAAAGUUUCGGCGGUUGGGGAUGGACUCGCGGCUUAUCAGCUUGUUGGUGGGGUAGUGGCUUACCAAGGCUUUGACGGGUAGCCGGCCUGAGAGGGUGACCGGCAACAGUGGGACGGAGAUACGGCCCAGACUCCUACGGGAGGCAGCAGUGGGGAAUAUUGAACAAUGGGCGGAAGCCUGAUGCAGCAACGCCGCGUGCGGGAUGACGGCCUUCGGGUUGUAAACCGCUUUCGCCUGUGACGAAGCGUGAGUGACGGUAAUGGGUAAAGAAGCACCGGCUAACUACGUG
rnacentral:rRNA from 1 species